UAACCGUUUGAGAAAUGGGAUGACACAGUAGGAUAAGCUAACCGCACUGUUGGUUAUGUGCGGGCAAGUAUUGAGGCAGUUCCGAUAGGCAAAUCCGUCGGAAUAAUGCUGGGGUACGAUGCGGAGCGAAAUUUAGUAGCGAAGUAGCUGAUUUCACACUGUCGAGAAAAGUCUCUAUCGAGGUUAAAGGUGCCUGUACCGCAAACCGACACAGGUGGGUGAGGAGAGUAUCCUAAGGCCAGCGAGAGAACUGUUGUUAAGGAACUCGGCAAAAUGACCCCGUAACUUAGGGAGAAGGGGUGCCUUCGAAAGAAGGCCGCAGAGAAUAGGCCCAAGCGACUGUUUACCAAAAACAUAGGUUUCUGCUAAGUCGCAAGACGAUGUAUAGGAGCUGACGCCUGCCCGGUGCUGGAAGGUUAAGGGGAUCUGUUAGAGCAAUCGAAGCAGUGAACUUAAGCCCCAGUAAACGGCGGCCGUAACAAUAACGGUCCUAAGGUAGCGAAAUUCCUUGUCGGGUAAGUUCCGACCCGCACGAAAGGCGUAACGAUUUGGGCACUGUCUCAACAACAGACUCGGUGAAAUUGUAAUACCGGUGAAGAUGCCGGUUACCUGCGACAGGACGGAAAGACCCCAUGUAGCUUUACUGUAGCUUGACAUUGAGUCUCGGUGCUACAUGUACAGGAUAGGUGGGAGACUAUGAAGCAUGGACGUCAGUCUGUGUGGAGUCAUCCUUGGGAUACCACCCUUGUAGUACUGGGAUUCUAACCAGAGGCCAUGAAUCUGGUCUUGGGACACUGUCAGGUGGACAGUUUGACUGGGGCGGUCGCCUCCCAAAAAGUAACGGAGGCGCUCAAAGGUUCUCUCAGUACGGUCGGAAAUCGUACGAAGAGUGUAAAGGCAAAAGAGAGCUUGAUUGCAAGACAUACAGGUCGAGCAAGGACGAAAGUCGGACUUAGUGAUCCGGUGGUUCCGCAUGGAAGGGCCAUCGCUCAACGGAUAAAAGCUACCCUGGGGAUAACAGGCUGAUCUCCCCCAAGAGUCCACAUCGACGGGGAGGUUUGGCACCUCGAUGUCGGCUCAUCACAUCCUGGGGCUGUAGUAGGUCCCAAGGGUUGGGCUGUUCGCCCAUUAAAGUGGUACGCGAGCUGGGUUCAGAACGUCGUGAGACAGUUCGGUCCCUAUCCGUCGCAGGCGUAGGAAAUUUGAGGAGACCUGUCCUUAGUACGAGAGGACCGGGAUGGACGUACCGCUGGUGUACCAGUUGUUCUGCCAAGGGCAUGGCUGGGUAGCUAAGUACGGAAAGGAUAAGCGCUGAAAGCAUCUAAGCGCGAAGCCCACUUCAAGAUAAGAUUUCCCACCGCAAGGUUAAGAUCCCAGGAAGACUACCUGGUUGAUAGGUCAGAGGUGUAAGUGCAGUAAUGUAUUUAGCUUACUGAUACUAAUAGAUCGAGGACUUGACC
rnacentral:rRNA from 1 species